rnacentral:rRNA from 1 species
GACGAACGCUGGCGGCGUGCCUAAUACAUGCAAGUCGAACGCAGUGGGGACGGGUGAGUAACACGUGGGUAACCUCCCAUCAGAGGGGAUAACACUUGGAAACAGGUGCUAAACCGAUACUGAUGGAUGGACCCGCGGUGAAUUAGCUAGUGGGUGAGGUAACGGCUCAGCAAGGCCACGAUGCAUAGCCAACCUGAGAGAGUGAUAGACCAACCUGGGACUGAGACACGGCCCAGACUCCUACGGGACGCAGCAGUAGGAAAUCUUCGGCAAUGGACUAAAGUCUGACCUAGCAACCCCGCGUGAGGUAAGAAGGUAUUCGGAGCGUAAAACUCAGUUGUUAGAGAAGCGGUAUCUAACCAGAAAGCCACGGCUAACUACGUGCCAGCCGCCGCGGUAAUAC